CGAUUUAGCAUGCUAGUCGUACGAGUUCAUACUCGUGGCGAAUAGCUCAGUAACACGUGGCCAAACUACCCUUCGGACCGUCAUACCCUCGGGAAACUGAGGUCAAUAACGGAUACCACAGUCCAGCUGGAAUGAGGACUGUGCCAAACGCCCCGGCGCCGAAGGAUGUGGCUGCGGCCGAUUAGGUAGACGGUGGGGUAACGGCCCACCGUGCCAAUAAUCGGUACGGGUCAUGAGAGUGAGAACCCGGAGACGGAAUCUGAGACAAGAUUCCGGGCCCUACGGGGCGCAGCAGGCGCGAAACCUUUACACUGCACGCCAGUGCGAUAAGGGAAUCCCAAGUGCGCAGGCAUAGAGCCUGCGCUUUUGUCCACCGUAGGGAGGUGGACGAAUAAGGGCUGGGCAAGACCGGUGCCAGCCGCCGCGGUAAUACCGGCAGCCCGAGUGAUGGCCGAUCUUAUUGGGCCUAAAGCGUCCGUAGCUGGCCGCACAAGUCCAUCGGAAAAUCCACCCGCUCAACGGGUGGGCGUCCGGUGGAAACUGUGUGGCUUGGGACCGGAAGGCGCGACGGGUACGUCCGGGGUAGGAGUGAAAUCCCGUAAUCCUGGACGGACCGCCGAUGGCGAAAGCACGUCGCGAGAACGGAUCCGACAGUGAGGGACGAAAGCUAGGGUCUCGAACCGGAUUAGAUACCCGGGUAGUCCUAGCCGUAAACAAUGGCUGCUAGGUGUGGCUCCCACUACGAGUGGGGUGCUGUGCGGUAGGGAAGCUGCUAGCAGGCCGGCUGGGAGGUACGUCCGCUAGGAUGAAACUUAAAGGGAUUGGCGGGGGGAGCACUACAACCGGAGGAGCUGCGGGUUUAUUUGGACUUCAACGCCGGACAUCUCUCCAGCAUCGACUGNGAUAUUGACGAUCAAGUUGAUGACCUUUAUCCGAGU
rnacentral:rRNA from 1 species